UACGUAGGGGGCAAGCGUUGUCCGGAUUUAUUGGGCGUAAAGAGCGUGUAGGCGGCUUUGCAAGUCCGUUGUGAAAACUCGAGGCUCAACCUCGAGACGCCGAUGGAAACCGUCUGGCUAGAGUCCGGAAGAGGAGAGUGGAAUUCCUGGUGUAGCGGUGAAAUGCGCAGAUAUCAGGAAGAACACCCGUGGCUAAGGCGGCUCUCUAGUACGGUACUGACGCUGAGACGCGAAAGCGUGGGGAGCGAACAGG
rnacentral:rRNA from 1 species